rnacentral:rRNA from 1 species
UCGAGCGGGCGUAGCAAUACGUCAGCGGCAGACGGGUGAGUAACGCGUGGGAACAUACCUUUUGGUUCGGAACAACACAGGGAAACUUGUGCUAAUACCGGAUAAGCCCUUACGGGGAAAGAUUUAUCGCCGAAAGAUUGGCCCGCGUCUGAUUAGCUAGUUGGUGAGGUAAUGGCUCACCAAGGCGACGAUCAGUAGCUGGUCUGAGAGGAUGAUCAGCCACAUUGGGACUGAGACACGGCCCAAACUCCUACGGGAGGCAGCAGUGGGGAAUAUUGGACAAUGGGCGCAAGCCUGAUCCAGCCAUGCCGCGUGAGUGAUGAAGGCCCUAGGGUUGUAAAGCUCUUUUGUGCGGGAAGAUAAUGACGGUACCGCAAGAAUAAGCCCCGGCUAACUUCGUGCCAGCAGCCGCGGUAAUAC